GCAAGUCGAACGCGCACCUUCGGGUGCGAGUGGCAAACGGGUGCGUAACACGUUGGUAACCUACCCCAAAGACGGGAAUAACCUUCCGAAAGGAUGGCUAAUACCCGAUGUGCUUAACUCUCUACAAGAGUGGUAAGUAAAACUACGGUGCUUUGGGAGGGGCCUACGGACUAUCAGCUUGUUGGUAAGGUAAUGGCUUACCAAGGCUAUGACGGUUAGCGGGUGUGAGAGCACGACCCGCCUCACCGGGACUGAGACACUGCCCGGACUCCUACGGGAGGCUGCAGUCAAGAAUCUUUCUCAAUGGACGAAAGUCUGAAGAAGCGACGCCGCGUGCAGGAAUAAGCCCUUCGGGGUGUAAACUGCUUUUCUGAAGGAAAAAUUUGUGAUGGUACCUUCAGGAAUAAGGGGGUGCUAACUCUGUGCCAGCAGCAGCGGUAACACAGAGCCCCCAAGCGUUAACCGGAUUUACUGGGCGUAAAGAGCUAAAAGGUGGCUUAGUAAGUCAGAAGUUAAAGACCAGGGCUCAACCCUGGGAAAGCUUUUGAAACUACUAAGCUAGAGGAUGGAAGAGGCAAGUGGAAUUGCUGGUGUAGCGGUAGAAUGCGUUAAUAUCAGCAGGAACACCAAAGGCGAAGGCAGCUUGCUGGGACAUUCCUGACACUAAAUAGCGAAAGCGUGGGUAGCGAAUGG
rnacentral:rRNA from 1 species